UGCUGAAUUAUUCGCCAAUGCGCGAAAGCGUGACGGUGCGACGCCGCGUGCAGGAUGAAGGCCUUCGGGUUGUAAACUGCUGUCAGAGUGUAGAAAACGUUGUGAGUUAAUAGUCCAUUACUUGAUCACAUUCAAAGGAAGCACAGGCUAAUCUCGUGCCAGCAGCCGCGGUAAUACGAGAUGUGCAAGCGUUGUUCGGAAUUACUGGGCAUAAAGGGUGCGUAGGCGGUCUGCCAAGUCAGCGGUGAAAUCCCCCGGCUCAACCGGGGAACUGCCGUUGAUACUAGUAGGCUAGGGGUCCAAAGGGGUCAGUGGAAUUCCAGGUGUAGCGGUGGAAUGCGUAGAUAUCUGGGAGAACGCCAAAGGCGAAGGCAACUGACUGGGUGGAAUCCGACGCUGAGGCACGAAAGCUAGGGGAGCAAACA
rnacentral:rRNA from 1 species